ACUAUACAUGACUCUGCGCAUAUCAAUAAGCGGAGGAAAAGAAACUAACAAGGAUUCCCCUAGUAACGGCGAGUGAAGCGGGAAGAGCUCAAAUUUGAAAUCUUAAAGGGUUUCCCUUUACGAAUUGUAGUUUAAAGAAGUGUUUUCUGUUGAGGUUUUGGUAAAAGUUCUUUGGAAUAGGACAUCAUAGAGGGUGAGAAUCCCGUAUUUGACCUUUACUUCCAACUUUGUGAUACACUUUCAAAGAGUCGGAUUGUUUGGGAAUGCAGUCCAAAAUGGGUGGUAAAUUUCAUCUAAAGCUAAAUAUUGGCGAGAGACCGAUAGCGAACAAGUACCGUGAGGGAAAGAUGAAAAGAACUUUGAAAAGAGAGUUAAACAGUACGUGAAAUUGUCAAAAGGGAAGCGUUUGACACCAGUGUUGUUUUUCUGAAAAUCAAUUAAAGAACUGUUUAUGCUAAGCUGUUUAGACUUUAUCAGCUAACUGUUUAGUUUUGAGCUUUUCUUUAAUGCACUUUUCAGUUAACAAGUCAACAUCAAUUUCUUUUGCUGUAAAAAAGCUUGAGGAAGGUGGCUUGAGAUUCGUCUUAAGUGUUUAUAGCCUCUUGCCUAUGCAGUCGGAGAGAUUGAGGUCUGCAGCGUAGAUCCUUCGGGGCUAAAUGCAUUUGUGCUAAGUUAUAGCAUUUUAUAGACAACUUGUUGACUAUGAUUUGUCUUGUAGCUUACUCGCUUAUGUUAUUUUACCUACGCUUAGGAUGUUGAUCUACAGAGCGAGAGU
rnacentral:rRNA from 1 species